AGAGUUUGAUCCUGGCUCAGGAUGAACGCUGGCGGCGUGCUUAGCACAUGCAAGUCGAACGAUUAACCCGCCCUCGGGCGGUUAUAGAGCGGCGAACGGGUGAGUAACACGUGACCAACCUGCCCCCUGCUCCGGGACAACCCAGGGAAACCUCGGCUAAUACCGGAUACUCCGCGCAGCCCGCAUGGGGGGCGCGGGAAAGCUCAGACGGCAAGGGAUGGGGUCGCGGCCCAUUAGGUAGACGGCGGGGUAACGGCCCACCGUGCCCGCGAUGGGUAGCCGGGUUGAGAGACCGAUCGGCCACAUUGGGACUGAGAUACGGCCCAGACUCCUACGGGAGGCAGCAGUGGGGAAUUUUGCGCAAUGGGGGAAACCCUGACGCAGCAACGCCGCGUGCGGGACGAAGGCCUUCGGGUUGUAAACCGCUUUCAGCAGGGAAUAUAGUGAAGGUACCUGCAGAAGAAGCUCCGGCUAACUACGUGCCAGCAGCCGCGGUAAUACGUAGGGAGCGAGCGUUAUCCGGAUUCAUUGGGCGUAAAGCGCGCGUAGGCGGCCCGUCAAGCGGGGUUUCAAGUCCAGGGGCUCAACCUCUGGCCGGACCCCGAACUGGCGGGCUCGAGUGCGGUAGAGGAAGGUGGAAUUCCCAGUGUAGCGGUGAAAUGCGCAGAUAUUGGGAAGAACACCGAUGGCGAAGGCAGCCUUCUGGGCCGCCACUGACGCUGAGGCGCGAAAGCUAGGGGAGCGAACAGGAUUAGAUACCCUGGUAGU
rnacentral:rRNA from 1 species